rnacentral:rRNA from 1 species
GUGGGGAAUAUUGGACAAUGGGCGCAAGCCUGAUCCAGCCAUGCCGCGUGAGUGAUGAAGGCCUUAGGGUUGUAAAGCUCUUUCAGUGGGGACGAUAAUGACGGUACCCACAGAAGAAGCCCCGGCUAACUUCGUGCCAGCAGCCGCGGUAAUACGAAGGGGGCUAGCGUUGUUCGGAUUUACUGGGCGUAAAGCGCACGUAGGCGGAUCGUUAAGUCGGGGGUGAAAUCCUGGAGCUCAACUCCAGAACUGCCUUCGAUACUGGCGAUCUUGAGUCCGGAAGAGGUGAGUGUAUCUCCUAGUGUAUAGGUUGUAAUCGUAGAUAUUAGGAAGAUCACCAGUGGCGAAGGCGUCUCACUGGUCCGGUACUUACGCUGAGGUGCGAAAGCGUGGGGAGCAAACAGGAUUAGAAACCCGGGUAGUCC